CAGAGGAUCGAAAGUAAAAAUUAUAAGGUCAUCGAUAGAAAUUUCCGGAGAAGUUAUUGUUGGCAGUUUCAACUUAGUUCUCAUCAAGGGAAGGUUUCAAGCUGCUGGUAGGCAUGUUGAGAAGCUGCCCAAAGCGAGGCCCGCGGUUCGGUCAAACAUUCGUCUGCAGGCGCUCGUCUGCGUUUGUUGUGUUUUUUUGCAUCGAACUUACGGAUUGAUUUUGACUGUCUCUCUGGCCCUGGAAUUGCCUGAAGCAUGCCAUUAAUUCAAGUUCAAAUCAAAGAGUAAGUUCACCAACGUAUCGACUGGCAAAAAGUCGACGAGUUUACUACACCUAGCAAUGGCACAACUUAAUGACAACCCUCUGGUUCAUCCUCCACUGUCGUCGCCACCACCAGAGAACAGUUCUCAGGACCAAACACAGACCCACAGAUUAUGUGUUGCGCUCAAAACAACUCCAAGUGACUGGGUGGAGGGACAUUCACGACAAACUUCUCGCAACUGGUUACAGAGCUGUCAGUGCUCCAACAUCCUUCUUUGGUAUGAUUUGUAAGCAGGGACUGAGCCCAUGGACGUCUAUAGUUGCUGGGACAACAGCAACAUUCUGUUUGAGCUGCUUGGAACUCCACCAUGAGAAUUCUCUCCACCUCCCAGAAGUAUGGACGAAUACUAGUACAUGUCCAACCCACAUGGAUCCUAAAGCCUGUCUGCGGUUCUUUCAGCCUAGCAUGCCAUGUCUCUGUGGAUGGUUUCUGCACCCCACUGCGAUGGAGGAACAACCUUUCUCUUCAUGAGCUGUACAGCUCCUGUUAGGAGUUUCAGAAGGUCUGCAACAGGCUGCCCAGGAGAGGGAUGGAGUCACUUUUAAUAGACAGUCCUGUGGGGAGGUAGGAAGGGGAAAAGCAGCAGGAAGGACAAAGGAGGCUAUAUAGAGAUACCCCCUUGAAGGGACAAAGGAAAAGGGAAGAAAAAGGGAAAGAAGAAGGUGCCCCAAAAUCAGUCUGAUUCAGAUGAUUACAUCCCUCUUACUGAACUGAUGUCCUAGGAAAAAUGAGAUGGCUGUACUAGUAUGCAUGAGAGGGCUAUAUUAGCCUAUAUGUGCAUUUACUACCUACAACAACAUAACACCUCGUUUUGACUUCUUACAAUAGUACAUUGUAGUACUAUCCUUGCUAGUCAAAACACAAUGUCUAGGUGAUGAGUUAAGUUAAAGUUAAAGUAUCUGAGUGUUGAACAAAAAUAUUAGCAAACAGCAAAAUAUGAUAAUUUAAAAAUGAAUAAAUGGAAAUGUCAUAUUCUGAGAAAGGCAAUGGUGUUUAUUUUGUUCAAUGUGUUUGCAACAUGAAUUUCGAUGCCGUCAUUAGAUGCGACUUAUUCAUUUACACUUAGAUUCAUGUACCUCAAUGACAAUCUGCGCAUUGAUAUAAUACUUUGCACUGACAAUAACCUGUUAUAUCUGGAAACAAUGUUAUAAAAUGAAGGACAUAUGGCUAUAAUAUUUGUUGCAUUAACAGUUAGUAUUUCACAGUCACACAAUACAUAGCAUACUAGUACAACUAUAUUGAUAUUCUUAUUAUAAACAAUGGCAUGGCUAUGAAUAUGAAAAUAAAGAGUAAUAUGAAGGAUUUCAUAUGUAUAAAGUUUCAACUUUUCUAAAGUUGUCUACUAGGUACCUUCACCUCCAAUAUAUUUUUUUUAGUAUUUAGGAACUGGUGUGUUUACCUGUGUGUUUCUAAAGACUGGUACUUUACCAGUGUUUUUGUUGCAUUUAGGGACAGGUAUAUUAACUUGCACAUAGAUAGUGUUCAUAUUGAGAAACUAGUAUUCACUUGCAUUUUUAUCCGAUGGUGAUAGAAUAGUGCAGUGACACCCAGGAACCGGAGCUAAAGCGCAUCAGCGCAGAGCCAACGGGAAAUGUUAGCUCCAGUCAGGCUUACAGGCCAUUUGUCUUUUUAAGUAUCCAGUAUUUGAGUAUAGUAUACUGUGAGUGCUACUAGUACUAUAUAGUAGAGGCCGUGUACUAGUACAAGUAAUUGUGCACCCCAUUUGCCAGCUCAUUUUGUGCAAUUAUCCGGGUUGUGCAACAAUGCAAAGUUAAGCACCGGUUUGGGAUGCGACUAACAAUAUGGCCGUCUGAUUUGCUGUACUGUUAGCGACACUACAGGAUUGGGUAAACAAAGGUUGCAUAGUUGAGCAUUUCGUGCAAAUAUCUGGGUUGCACAACACCGGUUUGACAUUUGGAAUUUCCGUGCAAUUAACAGAAUUGUGCGGUAAUCCGCUGUGCAAUGGACUCCCCUGAAGCCCCGCCUCCUGUUCGAUCGAUC